rnacentral:rRNA from 1 species
GACGAACGCUGGCGGCGUGCUUAACACAUGCAAGUCGAACGGAAAGGCCCUGCUUUUGUGGGGUGCUCGAGUGGCGAACGGGUGAGUAACACGUGAGUAACCUGCCCUUGACUUUGGGAUAACUUCAGGAAACUGGGGCUAAUACCGGCUAGGAGCUCCUGCUGCAUGGUGGGGGUUGGAAAGUUUCGGCGGUUGGGGAUGGACUCGCGGCUUAUCAGCUUGUUGGUGGGGUAGUGGCUUACCAAGGCUUUGACGGGUAGCCGGCCUGAGAGGGUGACCGGCCACAUUGGGACUGAGAUAGGGCCCAGAGUCCUACGGGAGGCAUCAGUGGGGAAUAUUGCACAAUGGGCGGAAGCCUGAUGCAGCAACGCCGCGUGCGGGAUGACGGCCUUCGGGUUGUAAACCGCUAUCGCCUGUGACGAAGCGUGAGUGACGGUAAUGGGUAAAGAAGCACCGGCUAACUACGUG